rnacentral:tRNA from 1 species
GCACUGAUAGCUCAGCUGGAAGAGUACACCGCUACGAACGGUGGGGUCGUAAGUUCAAAUCUUACUCGGUGCACCA